GAUGAACGCUAGCUACAGGCUUAACACAUGCAAGUCGAGGGGCAGCAUGGUCUUAGCUUGCUAAGGCCGAUGGCGACCGGCGCACGGGUGAGUAACACGUAUCCAACCUGCCGUCUACUCUUGGACAGCCUUCUGAAAGGAAGAUUAAUACAAGAUGGCAUCAUGAGUCCACAUGUUCACAUGAUUAAAGGUAUUCCGGUAGACGAUGGGGAUGCGUUCCAUUAGAUAGUAGGCGGGGUAACGGCCCACCUAGUCUUCGAUGGAUAGGGGUUCUGAGAGGAAGGUCCCCCACAUUGGAACUGAGACACGGUCCAAACUCCUACGGGAGGCAGCAGUGAGGAAUAUUGGUCAAUGGGCGAGAGCCUGAACCAGCCAAGUAGCGUGAAGGAUGACUGCCCUAUGGGUUGUAAACUUCUUUUAUAAAGGAAUAAAGUCGGGUAUGCAUACCCGUUUGCAUGUACUUUAUGAAUAAGGAUCGGCUAACUCCGUGCCAGCAGCCGCGGUAAUACGGAGGAUCCGAGCGUUAUCCGGAUUUAUUGGGUUUAAAGGGAGCGUAGAUGGAUGUUUAAGUCAGUUGUGAAAGUUUGCGGCUCAACCGUAAAAUUGCAGUUGAUACUGGAUAUCUUGAGUGCAGUUGAGGCAGGCGGAAUUCGUGGUGUAGCGGUGAAAUGCUUAGAUAUCACGAAGAACUCCGAUUGCGAAGGCAGCCUGCUAAGCUGCAACUGACAUUGAGGCUCGAAAGUGUGGGUAUCAAACAGGAUUAGAUACCCUGGUAGUCCACACGGUAAACGAUGAAUACUCGCUGUUUGCGAUAUACAGCAAGCGGCCAAGCGAAAGCGUUAAGUAUUCCACCUGGGGAGUACGCUGGCAACGGUGAAACUCAAAGGAAUUGACGGGGGCCCGCACAAGCGGAGGAACAUGUGGUCUAAUUCGAUGAUACGCGAGGAACCUUACCCGGGCUUAAAUUGCAGAUGAAUUACGGUGAAAGCCGUAAGCCGCAAGGCAUCUGUGAAGGUGCUGCAUGGUUGUCGUCAGCUCGUGCCGUGAGGUGUCGGCUUAAGUGCCAUAACGAGCGCAACCCUUGUUGUCAGUUACUAACAGGUCAUGCUGAGGACUCUGACAAGACUGCCAUCGUAAGAUGUGAGGAAGGUGGGGAUGACGUCAAAUCAGCACGGCCCUUACGUCCGGGGCUACACACGUGUUACAAUGGGGGGUACAGAGGGCCGCUACCACGCGAGUGGAUGCCAAUCCCAAAAACCUCUCUCAGUUCGGACUGGAGUCUGCAACCCGACUCCACGAAGCUGGAUUCGCUAGUAAUCGCGCAUCAGCCACGGCGCGGUGAAUACGUUCCCGGGCCUUGUACACACCGCCCGUCAAGCCAUGGGAGCCGGGGGUACCUGAAGUGCGUAACCGCGAGGAGCGCCCUAGGGUAAAAC
rnacentral:rRNA from 1 species